GAUGAACGCUGGCGACAGGCUUAACACAUGCAAGUCGAGGGGAAACGCCGGGGAAUCUUGCUUCCCCGGGCGUCGACCGGCGCACGGGUGAGUAACGCGUAUCCAACCUGCCUCUGACUGAGGGAUAACCCGUCGAAAGUCGGCCUACUACCUCAUUGCAUCGCCGCCGGGCACCCAACUACGAUUAAAGAUUUCUUCGACCAGUGAAGGGGCUGCGUCUGCUUAUCUUGUUGGCUGGGUAACGGCCCACCAAGGCGACGAUCAGUAGGGGUACGGAGAGGAAGGUCACCGGCAUUGGAACUGGGACCCGGUCCCUACUCCUGCGGGAGGCAGCAGUGAGGACGAUUGGUCCGUGGGCGUGAGCCUGAACCAGCCAGGUAGCGUGGAGGAUGACGGCCCUAUGGGUUUGAAUUUGCUUUUAUGCGGGGAUAAAGUGGGGGACGUGCCCUUCAUUGCAGGUACCGCAUGAAUAGGGACCGGCUACUUCCGU
rnacentral:rRNA from 1 species